AAUUAAAACAAGUUUAGUUAUUCCUAUCAAUUUUCCUUAUUAAUUAUAGUUUUAAUUAUAAUAAUAAUAAAUAUACAGUGGACUUAAUACCAGAGAGAAGACUUCUCUCUGCUUAAUACUAUGAAGGGAUUUUUAUUUUUAGAUCUUUUAAUAUGGUAGGCCUUCUGCUCUUUUCAAUUACCUUAUGGCACCCUGCUGAAAAAUCUCUCAGCUGAUUCUUGAAGUGUUUAUAUUUUCGUAAAGCUUGUUAACUUAUCAUUCUAAAUAUUUUUGUAGUGCAAAUUGAAAUAUUAAACAAUUCAAUUCAUCGCAACGAUGGGUGGUGGAGAUUUGAAUUUAAAAAAAUCAUGGCAUCCAUCAACAAUGAAAAAUAUGCAAAAGGUAUGGAAAGCUCAACAACAAGACAAUCAAGAAAAGAAAAGAAUUGCUGAGUUAAAGAGAGAUAUAGAAAUGGAACGAGAUCAAGAAGAUAUGAAAAAAUAUGCAAUGGAACAAGGAGUUAUUGAAAAGAAGGAAGAUAGAAAGUUAGAUUGGAUGUAUAAAAGACCUAAUCAAAUAAAUAGAGAAGACUAUUUGACGGGAAAAAAGAUCGAUAAAGAUUUUGAACAAUUUUCCCAAGCUGAGAAAGAUGCUGAACGUAAUAGAGCUGCAACUAAUCAUGUAGAAUAUGAAUGUAUUCCACCUUCAUUAAGGUCAUUUACUGGUAAUGAACAAGUAGAUUUAGCUCGAAAAUUACAAGAAGAUCCUUUGUAUGCAAUUAAAAAAAAGGAAAUAGAAUCUCGAAGUAAACUUUUAAAGAAUCCAGUAAAAUUAAAAAAACUUCAAGCACUAGUAAGUGAAAAACAAUCCAGCAGUGGACCUUUAUUUAAGCAUAAAUCUAAGAGUCAUAAGGAUUCAUCAAGUAGCACGAAAAAAGAUGAUCGACACUCUUUUAAAAACAAAAUUCUAUCUGAUAAGGAAAAAUUAAAAAAGCUUAAAGAGAUGAUGGAAAAUGCCUCUUGGCGUGAAAAGGAACGUAAGAAAAGUGUGAAACGAUAUCAAGAACAAGCAAAAAAAGAUCAGAGAGAACAAAAUAACAAAAAAUAUAGCAGUGAUUUCAUAAGAAAACAACUAGUGAAAGCCACUGAAGUUAGUACUGUCGCAUCUAGGAUAAAAUCUAACAUGAAUAAUAUCCAACGAUCUGAAAAAGCAAUGGACACAAACUUUGCCAAAAGAUAACAUUACAAUGAUAAAUUUCUAUCAUUCGUUGCUGAAUUUGAAAAAUACCCACUGCCACUUUUGAAGUAAUUAAAUUAGUAGCUUGGUUGAAAAUAAUGGAAAAAGAUAGAUGAAAUAAGUUAAAAUUUAUUUUAUAUUAAACAAAAGUACAAUAAAAUUCGAAUAUUUAUACUAUUGUAAACAUAACAUUGAGUAUUUCAAUAAUUGGUACUUUCGAUUAUUACUAUUAAAAAUAGUAUUAUUAACUACUGUAUUAAUAGACUAAAUAAAAAAUUUUUGAGAUGACGUAACAUUGCAUUAUAAAAGCACGCCAUAUUUGAAUUAUCGAGAAGAAUCGCUGCUUAAACAAUCCUACUGGAAGGACGAAGUUCAAUAGGGAAAUUUCCUAUUGAAGAUAUUUUUCUAUAGAAAUUGCUUGUAUCUUAUUCAGUUAUCCUAUGGGGAAACGCUAAUUACUAUUCCCAUUGAGAAUUUCCUAUUAAAUUAAGGGUAAACCUAUUGAACGUUUCAGGAAGAUCUUAUUACCAUCUUAUUACCACAAAAAAAAAAUCAGUUUACAUAAGAGAAAUUUUAUAAUUCGCUCUCGAGGUUUUUAUUUAUACAGAUUUGUUGUUUAAAUAUACACUUCCAAUGGAAUUUAUUAGAAACUUUGCUCAAAAAAAUCCUGUUUAUGUUGAGAUUUGAUCCUGGUAUCCUCGGGUCCACAAGUCCAGUACGCUAAUGACUAAGCUAUUCUAAUUAGAAUGUCAUGUCUUCAUGUUUUAAUGACUUUUGCCUAAUCAGUUUGAGUCGAACAUUGAUAAUAAUUCAAACAUUAAUCACGUUUGCUUCUUAUCAAGCAGAAAAAAAAUAAUUAUAAUUUGUAAAAUUUGACAAGUAAAAUGCAACUCAGAAAUUAUAUUUUUUUCCAAUAUUUCGUGAUAAGAUUUUAUAUUAUUCAAAAGAAGAACAUUAGCACAAUUUCAAUAGCAAGUCGAUGGAUUCAAAAGGAAAAUACAACGAAAAGGAAUAUACAGCAUAGAAAAUAUUUUCUUAUUGCCCUCGAUGCUUUCAUAAGAAUUUGAGCAUUUAAAUAGGCUCAAUUUGUACAUGUUUCUAUAGGAAGUAAAUAAAUUAAAAAACAAAAUACGACUUAGCACUUUGUAGUGGCACUAUUCUUCAACAGGAUUUAAUAUUUUCUUACACGGAAGAUUUUAUGAGGAAUGAAUAGAUUGAAAAGGAAAAUGUGACUUAGAAAAUAUUCUUUCAUCACGAUAUUCCCUAUUAGGAUUAUGGAAAUAAUUUUCUGGCAAAGCUCUGCUAAAGCUCUGGUAAAACUCGAGCAGAACUUUGACAAAAUUGUGGAAAAUACCUGAAAUCUUCUUAAGUAUUUUCGACAAUUUCUCGUAACUCUGUCAUAAUUCUGAAAACAAUUUGACAAUUUGAACAUCUUUAGAAUUUGGCUACAAUUAUUCUGGAAAAAGUCUCAAAAAUAUCUGAUUUUUUCUCAACUUUUUUCUGGCUUUUUAUUGAUUUUUUUAUGACAAAAAUUAGAAAAAUUCUAAAAUUGUCCUGGCAACAUUCUGAAAUUUUUCUGGUAAAAUUUUGGAAUUUCAAAAUCAAUAUAAUCGACUUUUAUCUAGAAAAAUUUUGAAAUAUUUUAGGAGACGUCAGACUUUUUCUUGACUUUUUUCAAUCGCUUAAGAAGGAAAUCAAUGUUAUAGAUGUCCAAUGUGCGGGACAAUUGUAACGAGAGUUGAUAAGCUAACACUUGAGUAUGAGUUGCAAUUUUAUUUUGUAUCAUUUUAUAUCCAAUUCAAAAAAUAUUUCAUUUUUUCAAGGAAAAAUGUAACUAUGUAUUGCUUGAUAUGCAAUUAAAAAAUUUUCUCAUUUUCUUUUUAAGGAAAAAUAUGAUAAUGUGUUGCUUAAUAUGCAAUUUAAAAUAUACUUU